UAGCUGCCCAACGAUACCGUGCUUCACCUCCAGUGGCUCUAGCAGAGUCCCUGCCAGCCCUCUUUACUCUGCUCCUGGCCUUCACAUAUUCCUUCCAAGCCCAGGAGGAGCAAGUGAGGAUGCAACCCACCUGCUCUGUGAAGCCCUGCAAACUAGCCCAUCUUUCUGAGAAGCGACUCUGGUCCAGCAGGGAUAUUGCUCAGAUUUAAGAAUUCUACCUGAGAAUAGAAAGCACAUAAAGAAUGCAGCAUGGCUAAACCACAGGGAUCUUCAGCUUUUCUCCUGGUUUCUCAAAGUGAGCUUCACCCCAGAUCGUUACUUAUUUAACCAGACACAGAGAUCGGCUCCUCCUUCCUGCUCAUGUGGGGCUGGCCUGACUGGUUGCACUUUGUUCAGCAGGGUAAAGAGCAACCUGCAGAAGCAACCAGCUUGUAUCUACCAUCAUUGCUGAUUUUGAUAUGUCAACUGCUUGUCUAGUCCUUAUUUCUUGGCAAGGACACUCAAGCCAAAGGUCCUUUGGGAGCUGCAAAGACAAUAGGAGGAAGCAUUUGCCUGAUGUCUGAUGUUACCACAAAAGGCUGGCCAGUAUACAUGAAAAUAUUGGAUUAUGAUGGAAAAUUUCAUGGGAGAAUGGCAGGGUUUCUAAGGACCUAUUUGCUUCCUCACACUCUAGUUCUGGCUGGAAGCAGCUUUUCUCAGCACAGCCCCCAUGUCUAAAUCUGAAAGGCUUUUGGAUGUGGGGACAGUACCCACGGAACCAUCUGUCUCCCCACUCUUGAGCCCACACACCUACUAGUUCAGCAUAUGUUUUGCACUGCUGUAGCCCCAGGUCCCAGCUCUUCGUGUACUUGUUAACAGUGCCUGGAGCAAUCUGUGUGCCCUUGAGCCAGCAACAGAGACAAUUCAUCACUCUGCAGUGACAGCCAAGGACCCCAGCAUCAGUAAAUGACUAAGCCUUUUCUGAGCCUGCUUGCAGGGUUCAUUAUGUGCUUUUUGCACACUGUGUUGUCCUGUUGGCCAUAUGUUAGGGCUCCAGUUUCCAGCUCUAUAUCCCACUCUAUUUAAACCAUCAUGCUGACUGUAUCUGAAAUAAGCUUUAGGAAUACCUCUUCCCUUAUCCCAGUAUUUGAGAAUUUUUGGUAUCUAUCCAGUUCCCCAAUGUGUUUUUGUGGUGAUAAUGGGCUGAGGAGACUGCCAACUUGUUGUCUCUUGGUCUUCUCUGUAUUGAAUUUCCCUAGUCUCAAAUCUCUGGACAAAUCUGUAUCUCUGCACUGCUGCCCCCAGCUCACACUUUUUUUUUUUUCCUUACUGUUUCCCUGUAUAGAAUAGCUUAUCUCACUUCUGCUCUUUGCAGAAUCUCUCUUCACAUAUCUAACAUUGAAGACAUUUUUAGAUUUUCUUUGCAAACCCUCUCUCAGGGGCAUCUGCACUUCCACCUUUGUGCUAUCAACAAGUUCUGUCUUUCCCCUGCAGACUCUCCCUGCACUCAUGUCUCUGCAAAGCAAAUCCUGUGCAGCACAACAUACAGUGGGACAGGUACCCCCUUCUGUCCGUGUGAGUGGAGAACCUCACGUAUGGUGCUGUUGCAAUGCAAGUGCUGCUGCCACUUGGAUGCACCGGCCUCCUAGUCUGCAUUUGCUUCCUUUGCAAGCUCCUCUGCUUGGAUAACUAACCAGUAGAUCUGGAUAUAUGUAAAAUUGCAAUAAAACCUUACUAAAACUACAGUAAAUUCACUGAAAACAGCUUGGCUGUUCCAACUUGCAACAGCUGAGCAUGCAGUUUUUUGUAGGUUUCAUAUAUUGGCAUGGUCCAUAAUAACAAUUCCACAAGAGACAACUAGGAGGUCCAGGCAACCUUUCCCUGCACAGCUUGCUUUCAGAGCCAGGAAUGAAGUUACUAGAGGUGAAGACCCUUGUUCCUAACCUGGGGAUGACCACAGCAUUUUCUGACUCUAUGUUUCAUUUUCCUACAUAAACAGAAUCUCUCUUGAUACUGAAGAACCUAACAUGAUAACACGAAACCAAGAAAUAACUGUCCCUGUAGUGGGAGAAAGAUGAAAUCAAUCGAGCAGGGAACAUAAGGAGUUCCUAAUACAGGGACCAGG